rnacentral:sRNA from 1 species
AGCCUAAACCUUUAAAAACAAAGGCAUGGUUAAAACCCAGUCGAGGAUAAAGAACCUAUCAUGUAGGAUUUAUCUUGACUGGUCGUAUCUGGAAACGGAUAUGGAGGACUUCGGUUCUC